UACAACUUUCAGCAAUGGAUGUCUAGGCUCUCACAACGAUGAAGAACGCAGCAAAAUGCGAUACGUAAUGCGAAUUGCAAUACCUCGUGAAUCAUCAAAAUUUUGAACGCACAUUGCGCU
rnacentral:rRNA from 1 species